rnacentral:tRNA from 2 species
UCCAGAUAGGCUCAAACCCUUCCCCCUAGCCUUCCAAGCUAACGAUGC